GACGAACGCUGGCGGCGUGCUUAACACAUGCAAGUCGAACGGAAAGGCCCUGCUUUUGUGGGGUGCUCGAGUGGCGAACGGGUGAGUAACACGUGAGUAACCUGCCCUUGACUUUGGGAUAACUUCAGGAAACUGGGGCUAAUACCGGAUAGGAGCUCCUGCUGCAUGGUGGGGGUUGGAAAGUUUCGGCGGGCGGGGAUGGACUCGCGGCUUAUCAGUUUGUUGGUGGGGUAGUGGCUUACCAAGGCUUUGACGGAUAGCCGGCCUGAGAGGGUGACCGGCGACAUUGGGACUGAGAUACGGCGCAGACUCGUACGUGGGGCAGCAGUGGGGAAUAUUGCACAAUGGGCGGAAGCCUGAUGCAGCGACGCCGCGUGCGGGAUGACGGCCUUCGGGUUGUAAACCGCUUUCGCCUGUGACGAAGCGUGAGUGACGGUAAUGGGUAAAGAAGCACCGGCUAACUACGUG
rnacentral:rRNA from 1 species